rnacentral:rRNA from 1 species
AUACGGAGGGUCCAAGCGUUAUCCGGAAUCAUUGGGUUUAAAGGGUCCGCAGGCGGACUAAUAAGUCAGUGGUGAAAUCCUCUCGCUUAACGAGAGAACUGCCAUUGAAACUGUUAGUCUUGAAUUCGGUCGAAGUAGGCGGAAUGUGUCAUGUAGCGGUGAAAUGCAUAGAUAUGACACAGAACACCGAUAGCGAAGGCAGCUUACUAGACCUGGAUUGACGCUCAUGGACGAAAGCGUGGGGAGCGAACAGGAUUAGAAACCCCAGUAGUCC